UCCUACGGGAGGCAGCAGUGGGGAAUAUUGCACAAUGGGCGAAAGCCUGAUGCAGCAACGCCGCGUGAGUGAUGAAGGUCUUCGGAUUGUAAAGCUCUGUCUUUUGGGACGAUAAUGACGGUACCAAAGGAGGAAGCCACGGCUAACUACGUGCCAGCAGCCGCGGUAAUACGUAGGUGGCGAGCGUUGUCCGGAUUUACUGGGCGUAAAGGGUGCGUAGGCGGAUGUUUAAGUGAGAUGUGAAAUACCCGGGCUUAACUUGGGUGCUGCAUUUCAAACUGGAUAUCUAGAGUGCAGGAGAGGAGAAUGGAAUUCCUAGUGUAGCGGUGAAAUGCGUAGAGAUUAGGAAGAACACCAGUGGUGAAGGCGAUUCUCUGGACUGUGACUGACGCUAAAUCACGAAACCAUGGGUAACAAACAGGACUAGAUACCCUGGUAGGCCGCGCCGUAAACGAUGAGUACUAGGUGUAGGAGGUAUCGACCCCUUCUGUGCCGCAGUAAACACAUUAAGUACUCCGCCUGGGAAGUACGAUCGCAAGAUUAAAACUCAAAUGAAUUGACGG
rnacentral:rRNA from 1 species